UUGGCUUGUAGUUCACAGUUUGUCCAUAUCUGUCGUUGAAGUCGUACAUGCCUCGUGCGAAAGGUCUUAUCAUGUACAUAGAUGUAAUCAUUAAUAAUCACUUCAUGUGAAAUAAAAAUAUUGUUUAAUCAAAUUUGAGUUAUAUUGGUAAUUUGUUUUGGAAAUAAGAAGAUUAUAUUUCUUUCUUCGUAAUAAUAUGCAUAAAUUAAUUAAAAUAUUGUGAUCAAAAAUCGAAGAAUGGCAGGAAAUUUUUGGCAGAGCUCUCACCAUCAACAGUGGUUACUUGAUAAACAAGAUUUAGUGCGCGAACGACAACAUGAUUUGUCUAUUUUAACAGAAGAAGAAUAUCAAAAGCUUUUUAUCUUUUUUUCUAACCUUAUUCAAGUGUUAGGUGAACAAUUAAAAUUAAGACAACAAGUAAUUGCAACAGCAACAGUAUAUUUUAAAAGAUUCUAUGCUCGCAAUAGUUUAAAAUGUAUCGAUCCUUUAUUAUUAGCCCCAACAUCCGUCUUUUUAGCUUCAAAGGUUGAAGAGUUUGGAGUUAUUUCUAACACAAGGUUAAUAACAACUUGCCAAACAGUAGUGAAAAACAAAUUUAAUUAUGCAUACUCUCAAGAAUUUCCGUAUCGUACAAAUCAUAUUCUUGAAUGUGAAUUUUAUCUUUUGGAGCAUUUAGAUUGUUGUUUAAUCGUAUAUCAACCGUACAGACCUCUUUUAAUUCUUAUUCAAGAUGUAGGGCCAGAUGAUCAACUAUUAACAUUAGCUUGGCGUAUUAUUAAUGAUAGUUUACGUACAGAUGUGUGUCUUCUUUAUCCACCAUAUCAAAUAGCCAUUGGAUGUCUGCAGAUUGCAUGUGUAAUAUUACAAAAAGAUCUCAAAUCAUGGUUUGCAGAAUUAAAUGCAGACAUGGAAAAAAUUCAAGAAAUAGCUCGUUAUAUCAUAAAUUUAUAUGAAUUAUGGAAAACGUAUGAUGAAAAAAAGGAAAUACAAGGGCUAUUGUCUAAAAUGCCUAAACCAAAAGCAGCACCACAGCGCUGACAUCUAGUUUCUUCAGCAUCGAAUAUUUGGGAUUGAUGCUAAACAGUGAUACAUACUGACUAAGUAUUUCUGUGAAGGAUUGAUAACCUUGACAUUAAAUACCGUUUUUAUAUGAAAAUGUACACAAUGUGUGGUACGAAGUUCGAAUCUAUCACUAUCACAAUUGGUGUAUUGUUAUACCUGUCAUUUUGCCAGAUCAGAACACCUGUAGAAAGUGCAUGAUUCCUAAGCACUUCAAAAUCAGUUUGAGAAAGAAAUUGACUAUAUAGGACUCCUUCACUAAACAAAAAUCUAUUUCUUUCGUUUUCCCAUAAUUUAAUUUGAUCCACAAUAGUUGGAGGCAAUGUAGGUGGGCCUGCCUCUAACAUUUUAUUAUGUGCAUGCUGCUGUAAAUAACUGUUAAUAUAGCAGAACGUAAAUUAACUUUACUGUGUAAUUGUAAGUAUCUAGUUUGAAAUUAUUAAUAAGAACAUAAAAUCGAAUAAAUUAUAAUUACAUACCCUAUGAUCUGUGCUGCAGUAAUUCCACUUUUCAAAGCUUGCCUUACUGAAUCUCUUGUUAAUAUUGAAACCACUAAGUUUGGGAAUCUGUAAGUUGUCACUUAGUAAUAAUAAAAACAUAAUUUUUAUAA